GGGUGGGUGGUUCAGUGGUUAGGGCCUAGGGCUCGUAACCGAAAGGUUCCGAGUUCGAACCUCGGCAGACAUA
rnacentral:tRNA from 1 species